GACAAUCUUUAUGCUCAUUCUUCCUUCUGAUAGGAGGGGAGUCAUACAACCCCAGAAACCAUUUCCACAACCCUGAGUAUUGUUGCAUACUGUGCAAUGUAAAUAUUCUUGGUACUCUCAUUUAGAUUGUCAAAUUUAGAGCAUGUUCCAUCAUUUCAAUAUUAUUCAUGAUGGAAUGAUAAUGCUCUAAAUGUUAUUUUU
rnacentral:telomerase_RNA from 1 species